UGAGUGCUUUCGGAGAUGCAUGCCCUGGA
rnacentral:piRNA from 1 species